UGAAAACCUGUUAGAUUGUGUCGUCCUUCUGCAGUGCCUCCCCAUUUCACUCCGGGUAAAAGCCACAGUCCUUACAACGUCCUCCAAGGCCGUACAGGAUCUGCAGUGACCCUUCUCCGCAGCUCCAGCCGUGCCCCCAUUCUGGAACAUGCAAGAUGCACAAAGCAGGGUCAUCAGAAGCCUAAUUCCAAAGAAGAUAAUAGUGAAAAGCAUUGCACAGUGACAGUGAAUCCUUGGCAUAUGAAGAAAUAUUGUAAAGUCCUGAAUGAAUUAAGAAGAAAUUGUUACAUUAACAUACACGUAACCAUGGCUCUCUUACCUUUAUUUUUCACUUUAUAAUGAAGACACUCCCCACCGGUCAAGGUUGCUUUGCUUGAUAUAGGGAAUAUCUAAAGCCUUUUCUGCAAGAUUUUUAAAUAAGUAAGAGCAGAUGCAGAAGUUUUUAUGCUUCACAGACAUUUCAGUCUUGCAGAGAGAAAAAUUUCUUUGCAUUUUGCUGAACUUGUCCGGGUGCCUUAAUCGAAUUUUGUCCAGGCCUGCAGAGGUGAAUACGCAUCCAAACCUGAACCAUUUGAAUGUCUGCAAGAUUUUAAGAGUCUAGAAUGUCAGAUCUGGACUAUAACUCUGGUGAAUGACAUCAAGAAAACAUGAGGCUAGGAAUCUAACCUCAUCUGUGAUGGUCUGCAGCUGGGAGCAGCCAGAUCAGUGUCAGUCCCUUUGCAGCCAUUGGUUGGGAGCCUGCAUGUUCCCUGGAAUGAUAUUUGAAAUAUGUCACCCUAGCCGUGUCUUCGCUGUGGGCUGGGAGGUUUUGGAUGACAAGCUUGUAUGCAAAAGUACACACCCUGUGGGAGGUGCUCUGUACAUACGCUGAGAUACUGCACAUAAAAUUGCCUCUGAAGCCUAAUGAUCUGAAAACCCGGUCCUCAGCCUUUGAUAAUUUCAGCUGUUUUAUGAAAGUCCUCCAAGUGGAUGAAAGUAUCAUCAAGCCGGAGCAAGAGUUUUUCAUUUCCCUAUUUGAGAAGAGCUGCGUGAAUGACUUUUAUAUUCAGGAUAGAGAUACAUUCUUCAAUCCAGCCUCCAGAAGCCGCAUUUGCAACUUCAGCCUCCAUCAGGGGACCUCAGCUGCCCCAGCGAACAGGGCCUUCUGUACAGGGAAUGGGCUCCUCCUCGAAGCGUAGACAAGAAACAGCCCUUAGAUCUCCUCAGGAAAUUCUAUGGAGAGAAUGUCGGAAUCUACUUUGCUUGGCUGGGCUAUUACACUCAGAUGCUCCUCCUGGCAGGAGUCGUGGGGGUGACUUGCUUUCUGUAUGGAUAUUUUAAUCAAAAUAACUGUACAUGGAGCAGAACUUCCCAAAAACCUGAAUGGAAGAGACCCAAUCCAGAAGUACCUGACUGUGCAGGUGGGCCACGCCCAUCAGUGUUUCCCUCAUCAGUUUUAUCAUCAUCGUGACCCUGAACGCCAUAUAAGAGAAAGUGGCAAUCAUGAUGACUGACUCUGCUGCAGAGCUCCCAAGGACCAGACUGACUACGAGAACAAUCAAGCCAUGAAGUUGUUCUUGUUCCAUUUUGUCAACUACUACUCCUCGUGUUUCUACAUCACAUUCUUUAAGGGCAGAUUUGUGACUUAUCCUGGAGAUCUGGUGUAUUGGCUGUGAAAAUACAGAAAUGAAGACGUCUGAAUACAGCUUUGUGUUCUGACAGUCUAACCUGUUUCAGGUUUUCUCUUAGUUGCCCAAUGAAGAGUGUCUUUACUCUCUGUUCCUUAGAAUUUUUUAGGCAUAUAAUAAUGACUUUAUUUCAUUUUAGAGCUACCUAAAAUUGAAAUGAGAUUUUCUUUCUAAUAUUCCAGUGUGACCCAGGUGGCUGUCUCCUUGAACUCAUGACGCAGCUGACAAUAAUCAUGGGAGGACUGUCCAUCUGGAAUAACAUAUAAGAGGUGUUACUUCCAUCCUGUGGCUUAAAGAGGAUAAAUGAUUUGCCAAAGCUCUCAUUGCCAAUAAGAGACCACUGUGGGAGUCACAUGUUUCUCGGAGCAAAUGAAGAAGGACAGUGAUGCCGUGAUCCAGGCUCCCUCUGGGUUCUCCCCAGCACUUGGAUUGGCAGCUGGUAUAAAGUAGGCCUCAGCCCGAGCCACCUGAGUGGGAACAGGACUCAGGAAUGAAAUAGAUUAAGAGAAUCAAAGAUACUUGUAUUCAAGAUAAGCAAUUUGGAGUGUCCUCAUCAGAAACGGUGAUAAUCUAUAAUGCAGGGAUUAAAUGUGAUAAUGAGGGUACAAAGACAACAUGAAGCAGAAAAUGCCACGUGGGAAGCACUGGGUCAUAAAUCUAAUGGAGCCACAGUUUCAGGAGCAGAACAGACCACGCCACGAUGGGAACGGGACAACCAUCUGCAUCCCAUGGGCAAACUGGGGUCAUUUUAUGAAUACCUUGAAAUGAGCAAGUCAUCAGUGGAGAUUUCUGUGCUGUCAGUUAUACUAGAGUAUGUUUUGGGUCUCAGAAGCAUCGGUUACCGAGCCAAACAAUGACCCAGCAUACCGAAACGGAGCCCGCUUUUCUCCAUUAGAUGCAAUUAUGCAGUCAGUCUUUCAAAGAGUGUGCCUGUGUGUAUCUUUGUCAAUAUUUAUGAUGUACAAAGCUGAAGAUUUACUGCCAAGGAAUGAAAUGGAAUAUUCAUUCAGGAUGAACUUUCCAAAAUGGCAGCUGAGUAACUGGGGGGGAUGGUAGACCUCUCAUCUCUUUACUGAUUCAUUCGUUUAUCCAUCCAACAAACACUGAGCACCUGCUAUGCCAAACACUGUAUCAACUGCUGGGGAGACCAAGACAGGAGUAAAGGAAUUGAUGUUGUCCUUCCAUCCAUCCACCACUCCACGUUGUGUGUCCAUUUCUUCAACAGGUAUUCAGUUUAGGUUCACCACCUUAUCUGUGGCCUCUUUCCAGUGGCCCCUCUGUUGGCUCUGGAGAACAGUAUAUUGGAAAUCAGAGUGGGUACGUGGAAACUUGACUACCAAGCACAGACGCAUGGUGCCAGAAAAAGCCCAGGACAUCACAGUGCGGCAGCCCACCAUGCAAGGAACAGCAAUUCUGGCUGUGGUGGACACAUGUGUGUAAAAAGGCUUCAUGCGGUGAAGACCUAGAAAAGUCCAAAAAUGCAUUGGCGUUGCUUCCUUAGGAAUCCAGCGUUGCGUAUUUUUUAAUAUGAGAGGGAGAUGCUAACACUAUCAUCGUUAUGAAGAACAUAUUUGUUGUAACUGUAAUUAUUAUUUUAAUAAAUUUUCUUUAUAAUUAUUA